rnacentral:rRNA from 1 species
GACAGAGGGGGCAAGCGUUGCUCGGAAUCACUGGGUGUAAAGGGUGCGUAGGCGGGAGAAUAAGUCAGCGGUGAAAUCUUACGGCUCAACCGUGAAACUGCCGUUGAUACUGUUUUUCUUGAGUUCGGGAGAGGUUGAUGGAAUUCCAGGUGUAGCGGUGAAAUGCGUAGAUAUCUGGAAGAACACCAGUGGCGAAGGCGGCCAACUGGCCCGAAACUGACGCUGAGGCACGAAAGCGUGGGUAGCGAACAGG